AUUGAACGCUGGCGGCAGGCCUAACACAUGCAAGUCGAACGGUAACAGGAAACAGCUUGCUGUUUCGCUGACGAGUGGCGGACGGGUGAGUAAUGUCUGGGAAACUGCCUGAUGGAGGGGGAUAACUACUGGGAACGGUAGCUAAUACCGCAUAACGUCGCAAGACCAAAGAGGGGGACCUUCGGGCCUCUUGCCAUCGGAUGUGCCCAGAUGGGAUUAGCUUGUUGGUGGGGUAACGGCUCACCAAGGCGACGAUCCCUAGCUGGUCUGAGAGGAUGACCAGCCACACUGGAACUGAGACACGGUCCAGACUCCUACGGGAGGCAGCAGUGGGGAAUAUUGCACAAUGGGCGCAAGCCUGAUGCAGCCAUGCCGCGUGUAUGAAGAAGGCCUUCGGGUUGUAAAGUACUUUCAGCGGGGAGGAAGGGAGUAAAGUUAAUACCUUUGCUCAUUGACGUUACCCGCAGAAGAAGCACCGGCUAACUCCGUGCCAGCAGCCGCGGUAAUACGGAGGGUGCAAGCGUUAAUCGGAAUUACUGGGCG
rnacentral:rRNA from 1 species